UACGUAGGGGGCAAGCGUUGUCCGGAUUUAUUGGGCGUAAAGAGCGUGUAGGCGGCCAGAUAGGUCAGCUGUGAAAACUCGAGGCUCAACCUCGAGACGUCGGUUGAAACCGUAGCUAGAGUCCGGAAGAGGAGAGUGGAAUUCCCGGUGUAGCGGUGAAAUGCGCAGAUAUCGGGAAGAACACCCGUGGCGAAGGCGGCUCUCUGGGACGGUACUGACGCUGAGACGCGAAAGCGUGGGGAGCGAACAGG
rnacentral:rRNA from 1 species